rnacentral:rRNA from 1 species
UACGGAGGGUGCGAGCGUUGUCCGGAAUCACUGGGCGUAAAGCGUGCGCAGGCGGUUUUGUAAGCCAGAUGUGAAAUCCCCGGGCUUAACCUGGGAACUGCAUUUGGGACUGCAAGGCUUGAGUACGGCAGAGGGGGGUAGAAUUCCUGGUGUAGCAGUGAAAUGCGUAGAUAUCAGGAGGAAUACCGAUGGCGAAGGCAGCCCCCUGGGUCGAUACUGACGCUCAUGCACGAAAGCGUGGGGAGCAAACAGG